rnacentral:ncRNA from 2 species
AGUGUUGAUAGAGGUGCGAGUUUCAUUAGUAAAGACUUGGAGAAGGAUGAGCUUCUGUGAAAAGUCUUGAAAGGGGAAGUCGCCGAAGCAAUCAAGUCUCAUAGCUUGAUUUUGCUGGUCUGACAUUGAAUAAAUGGCAGAUUGUCAGAACAAUUUUGUUCUGGAGGGCUAUCUCACUG